rnacentral:pre_miRNA from 1 species
AACAUACUUCCUCCGUCCGAAAAUACUUGUCAUCAAAAUGGAUGAAAAGGGAUGUAUCUAGAAUUAAAAUAUAUCUAGAUACAUCCCCUUUUAUUCAUUUUUAUGACAAGUAUUUCCGGACGGAGGGAGUAUAAU